GGCCCCAUCGUUUAGUGGUUAGGACACCAGGUUUUCAACCUGUAAGCGGGGGUUCAAUUCCCCCUGGGGCUGCCA
rnacentral:tRNA from 1 species